GGAGAUGUAUCGAAGUGGUCAUAACGAGAACGACUCGAAAUCGUUUGGACGGUAAAACGUUCCGUGGGUUCGAAUCCCACCAUCUCCGCCA
rnacentral:tRNA from 1 species